ACAUAGAUAAUAAUAUAUACAUUGUGAUAAGUGAUAACGACCGCUGAUAACAAAGAGAAACAUCUUGACUGACUAGAUAGUAAGAUUAUCUGUAAUUAGUAUUCUGUCUUAUUCGCAUUUCGCAUUGAUUUUUUCAUUUUUGGACGUUACAAUUAUAAUUUUUUUCAACGUAAUAUCUGUCCUAACACUCACACAUCCUAAAUCAAUUUGAAAUUGGAUAUUAUCUUUCAAUGGUGAACCCGGAUUACUAUAAAAUUUGUUUAACUUUUGAUGCAAUGUCAUCUGUAUUGUUUUCUUGGAAAUGAUUUGCAACUUGAAGUACUUUAAUCAGACAGAAGCAACUGAGGUGUUAAUGUUCAAUGUCCAUGCUAAUUAAUUUAAAAUGUUUAAAUAGCAAAUGGAAACUUCCAAUUGGUUAUUUUUGCCAAAAUUUUAGUCUUGGCUCAAUGGAAAGAAACAUAGCGAUAUGACAAGAAGUUGCUCCCUAGUCCCCUACGCAUGCCGCAGUGGUCUUACAACUCAAGAUUGGGACUAGGUCCUUUUUCCUACGGGGAAUUAAAAUAGUCCACAAAACAAGUAACCCAAAGACUGACCUUACUUAUGAUUAGAAUAGUAUAAUCACUCUAGCAUAGAUUUGUUAAAUUUUUUUUUUUCGUGUGUCUAUUAAGAAAUAAAUUAGGGUUUACUAUCCUAGACGUUGAGGCCUGUUUUGCUAGGCGGAAAUGUAUCCCUGUGUGGGCGUAAACUGUACCUAUAAAUAUUACAAUAUUACAUACGUACAACGCUUAUUAAUUGUUAUAAAAUGUCAAUAUGAUUGUUGUCA